AGAAUGCACAAUUAGGACCCUGGUUGUUACACCUGCAUGGAAAUGUCAUUAGUAACACCUGUGUUUAACUGCUGUGGAAAAGGUCUAUUAGUCUGUUAGUGUCUGGACACACCGCCACAAAAUCGCUACUGAGAAAUUCGGUCAAAGAUAAAACCUGGAUCCAGGACCAGCAGGACAGAACAAAGUUCCGGAAAACCCAGAGCCAAGCGGCUGGUGUCUCCGCGGACUGACCUGGACCUUGCGGCCCCACAGAUACCACACUGCGGCGGUGAAUGUGCAGACAGCCACCGUACAAGACUUGAUGCAGCGACGGAGUGUUACUGCCCUCCUCCGGUUACUGUAAAUGUCAAGCUGACCUUCAUGUUUUCAUUCAUACUAACUCUAAACCCCCCCUGUGGAUCAACGCCGGUGGCUCAAUCAGUCAAUUAUCCACGUGAGAAAAUGCAUAAACACCAAUACACCACUAUACCAAUAAUAAAAACUCUU